rnacentral:rRNA from 1 species
UGAGGAAUAUUGGGCAAUGCCCGCAAGGGUGACCCAGCAACGCCGCGUGGAGGAUGAAUGUCGUAAGAUUGUAAACUCCUGUUAGAGGGGAAGAAUAGUACCGGUUGGACCGGUAUAUGACUGUACCCUCAGAGAAAGCCCCGGCUAACUACGUGCCAGCAGCCGCGGUAAUACGUAGGGGGCAAGCGUUGUCCGGAUUUACUGGGUGUAAAGGGCGCGCAGGCGGGAUAAAAAGUCAGUGGUGAAAUCCUACAGCUUAACUGUAGAACUGCCUUUGAUACUUUUAUUCUUGAGUUCGGGAGAGAGAGACGGAAUUCCAGGUGUAGUGGUGAAAUACGUAGAUAUCUGGAAGAACACCAGUUGCGAAGGCGGUCUCUUGGUCCGACACUGACGCUGAGGCGCGAAAGCGUGGGGGGCAAACA